GGAAGGAUCAUUAUUGAUUGCGAAUCGUUGCCUUCUGUGCUGGCCAGCUCUGGCAAGUGCACGUCGGUGACUUUCAUCCAAUACCCUGUGAACCUUUGGCCUUUGCUAGCUUCGGCCGGCAGAGGAAUUUACACACACUCUCA
rnacentral:misc_RNA from 1 species